AUGGAAACCAGAGGGGUCAGUUCUAACGAAUAUGGCACUAAGCCCACCCGUGCAGAAGAAUGGACUUGGUUUGGAGAGGAAAUUGCACGGUUGUCUCAAAAGAGCCUUGGCAAAGAAGAUGAAGAUCAUGUCUUAGGAUUAGAAACAAGAUUUUUUUGUGUAGUUUUAAUGGCUAUUUCGACAUAUUUCAGAGCAAAGUCGAUACUUCGAAUAAGGCAUUCGUGUUAG